GACGAACGCUGGCGGCGUGCUUAACACAUGCAAGUCGAACGGAAAGGCCCCGCCUUUGUGGGGUGCUCGAGUGGCGAACGGGUGAGUAACACGUGAGUAACCUGCCCUUGACUUUGGGAUAACUUCAGGAAACUGGGGCUAAUACCGGAUAGGAGCUCCUGCUGCAUGGUGGGGGUGGGAAAGUUUCGGCGGUGGGGGAUGGACUCGCGGCUUAUCAGCUUGUUGGUGGGGUAGUGGCUUACCAAGGCUUUGACGGGUAGCCGGCCUGAGAGGGUGACCGGCCACAUUGGGACUGAGAUACGGCCCAGACUCCUACGGGAGGCAGCAGUGGGGAAUAUUGCACAAUGGGCGGAAGCCUGAUGCAGCAACGCCGCGUGCGGGAUGACGGCCUUCGGGUUGUAAACCGCUUUCGCCUGUGACGAAGCGUGAGUGACGGUAAUGGGUGAAGAAGCACCGGCUAACUACGUG
rnacentral:rRNA from 1 species